AACCAAAUAAUUAUAAUAAAUAAAAAAAGUGCUUAUCUCUGCUCUGGUCUGGAUACAGCUUAUAAGCACUGUAUGGUUCUCGCCUACAAGCACAUUUCAGAAACAGAGAGAAAGACAGAAGUUUAACGAGAAAAUGGAAGACUUCUCUUCUGAUGCCGAUUCUUCGAUUUCAGCUAACAGCUCUUUCCAAAGCCACCAUGAAUCCAAAUCCUUAACCUUCACACCCCCUCUCAAUGGCUUCGAUCAAGAAUCUGCACACCCCUCUAAAUUGAGUAGCAGCAAAAGCUUGCCGCCGAGCAGGAAGAAGAAGAAGAAGAACCAAGUCUUGCUUGAGGGCUAUGUGGAAACAGAUUCUGAAGAUGACUUGAAGAGAACCAAGAGUUUGACUGAUGAAGAUCUUGAUGAGUUAAAGGGGUGCUGUGAUCUUGGUUUUGGAUUCGGUUAUGAGGAAAUUCCUGAACUUUGCAAUACCCUGCCUGCUCUUGAGUUGUGUUACUCAAUGAGUCAGAGGUUCUUAGAUGAACACCAGAUGUUGCCAGAGAGGACUUCAAUGGCUGAGUCUGUUGCAACCCCGAUUGCUAAUUGGAAGAUCUCUAGUCCUGGUGACCACCCUGAAGAUGUUAAGGCAAGGCUGAAAUAUUGGGCACAAGCUGUGGCCUGCACAGUUAAAUUGUGCAACUGAGGCAGAGAUUUAGCAACUAAUUGUAUCGUCAAAUGAAAACAAAAUGAAAAUCUGAAACCACAAAUCAUUCAAGGACAGUUUCUUUCUGGGAAUGAAAUUUUCAGCUAGUUAUUGGCUGAAGAUGGACCUAUCAAACGAUGGGUCGCCUUUAAAGGAGUAGAGAGGAGGAGGAAGGGGAAAAUGUCUCAGGUUUGAGAUUAACCAAAUACCCUUUGGUGAGAGUCUCCAUUAGAGCUUCACCAAAUAGUUGCAGGCCUCUGCAUUUGCUGAGUCUGUAUGGAUGUGGUAUGAUUGCCCCAACUGCAGAAUGAAGGGUCGAAACUCUGAUAUUAGAUAACUUGGGUUUCGGUUUGGGAUCUUCGCAAGCAGAAACAAAGACCUGUAAAAUGGAAGUGAAAUUUGCAUAGAAGGUUACAUUCAAGGGCAAGGUCUUAUGUUUCUUGUCAUAUUUUCGCUUGAUAAGAGGUUAAAUUCCUUCAAUCCAUCUUCUGUAACACUGGAAUCAACUACUUAAUAUCUUCAUACGACAGAGCUGGACACAAGCGCCAGUUCCAUAACACAAAACCCACCAAAGAUUUUGAUAGAAACUCAGCAUUAAGGUGAAAAAGAUUGAAAGCAAGAGCAUAGUAAGCAGUCAAAAUAGGCUGCAAAUGCUGAGUUAGAAAGGCUGCUGAACGGUUUUUGAAGAUAACUUAAUUUACCAACAGCUUCAGAAACUGAGCAUUCUUAAAGCUGAGACAAAUUUUAUGCCAAUUUAGAAUUUCAAAUCUUUGAAUAACAAUCUUAUUUAAGUUAAUGAUGACAUAUGUUUCAUUGUGAAAGAAAUGAGAAAGAAAUUUCUUGGGACA